ACGUACUGAGAAUUUGGUACGAUAACACGUCAGGUAGGGCAAAUAAUUACUCCUUUGAUAUUUCUCGACGUCGCAAACUCGCAUCUUAAGUUGUAGUGGUUUUCAUCUGGCUAGAUAACCUGCGGGUCGUGGGUUCGAUUCCCACCCCAACCAUUUUUUUCCCUAUUGGCUAGUAAUUAGGGAUAUCUAAUUUGAAUAUUUUUAUAAUCUAUUUUUUAACGUGAUUUUUAAAAAUAAAUCGGGACUUAAAACAAUAUUCAUUUAUACUAAUUAUUUUGAAUAUUUAAUAACAUAAAACAUUAUUAACAUUUACUUUGUAUAUUUAAGUUUUUCUUUACUUUUGACACCAUGACCAUGAGUAAUAUUGACCUGCUACUGUAUAUAUUCGAAUCAUGUUCUCAAGAGUUGACUGACUGGUACUUGGUGUGGUACUAGGUUAAUGGCUUAGGGCAUGGUCACAAUAACGAGUUUCACAACCUGAUGGAAAUAGCUGCGCCAAACUGCCUAUCUCAUGAUCAAAUGAAUUUCCUCCAAUUAUUUUUGAAUUCGAAUUUUUUUGUUAUAGAGCAGUGUUGGGCAUAGAAUGGGGUUGAGGGUCUUUUACCUCAACACCGAGAACUGCAUCUAAACUUCUAGAGUACUUGUAAUAAUCCUUUAUGUACUUCUUUUGUAACAAUUUACGCUUAGUUUUAACGUUAGUACAGUACUGUAUUUAUAGAUAUUGGUGCCACAGGCUGUUAAAAAGGCGUUUUUUGUAAUGGUAGGUAGGAUAUUUGUAGAGUACCUUCCACAAUAACAUCGUUUUAAGGCGCUGACAGUAUUCAGACCUUUAAUAUACUUUUGCCAGCCACAACAAAAUUGCCGCCAGAUCACAUGUGGCCCAUAGGUCACACUCUGCCCUCCUAUGCUUUAGACUAAAGGUAAACCUGUACAACUUAAUGGGGUUAAAAACUAUCAGUCUUUAUCAUCAUUGUGGCUUUCCUACCUCAUGCAAUGUAUGACUGUUCAAGUCAAUAGUAAACACUACUAAUAAAAUAUUCCAUUGCCCAAAAUACAUUUAACAGAAUUUAUUUGAAAACAUUAUCAUCACAUGCAACACAGAAUUAAUUUGCAGGAAACUGUCACAGAAUAAUAAUACAUAAGUUUGAAAAAUGCAGGCUGAGUGUAUAUUGUACAAUACUACUAGCAGACUAAAAAAAAAUACCAACUGGCAAAUAAUCGUCCGGAAGACUAUGCUAUUUAAACACAUGUCUAAAAACAGUAGAUCAAAAUAAACAGUAUAGUAUGAAUAUUGUACAAUUCAUAAAAUGUUCAAUUAGUCAAUCAAUGAAUUAUCAUCCUUUCUUUGAUAAUCUUGUGCAAAUAUAUUACAGUAUAUUUUUAGCGCACUGUUUUACAGAAUGGCUUAAAAUGCCUUACUGACUGUUUUCAAUAUAACCCUGUGUAAAUUCUGCGAAUUAAAUGAUUACUUAGGAUCUACUGAUAUACAUUUGAUACAACAAAAUUCAAAAAAUUUUUCUGCAGACCGGAUGUAAAUUACAAAAUUGUUUUCUUUCAUACAAAUU